AGAUGAACGGCUGUGCAAUGGUGAACAGAUUCAUCCCCAGGCACCCAAUCCAUUAUCCUGUCAACAACAGCAGGUCCCUGCCACAGUUAGCAGCAACAUUGGCCAUAAUGAAAUCAUCAGUAAUCCCAAAACUCAUCUCAUCAUACCCAAGGUAAAAGUGCUUAUCUUUUCUUGGACUGUAUGAUAACAUGACAAAACAGUUAAACAACAGGCUUGGACCUCAGUGGAAGACGCAUGUUUUUCUUCAGCAAUGAAUAACCUGUAGUAGCUAUUUCCCUGCAUGUAAUGGAAUUUGACUUAAGAAAAUCAAAGAAAUGGAUCUAUGGCAUUUCAGUGAGAAAUCUGAUUUAGUUUUUACACUGUCAAAUGCUGAAACCAUUUGAUUUCAGCUCUAUUUUUCAUAUAUAUAAAAAAAUCUGUCUUAAAUUCGCUGGGAAAUUAAAUUAAAAUCAGGAAUCUCAUGUUUAUACUCGUCAGGAUAAUUUAUAUGGCUAACAGAUUUUUUUUUUUUUUUUUUUUUUUUGUCGCAUUCGAGCAUUAGUGGCAUUGAGUACCAUUGUUAUUCAAUCGGUAUAGGUUAUCCUCUGCAGGUGAUUGAGCAAAAGUGCUUAAGCGCGCUUUACAAACUUGCUGAGAAUGGAUAAUGUCUUGUAAUAUUUCUCUAUUUAAAGCUGGUUUAUAAUUAAAUAUUUAUUAUUCAUAUAGCCUAGUUUGUUUCGAUUGCAACACUGAAAUGCGCGUAUUAAUAAACUUUUUUUUUGUCAAAUAAAUAAAUCA
ensembl:lncRNA